rfam:Triticum urartu cultivar G1812 contig160621, whole genome shotgun sequence.
GAAGUACUUCCUUCGUUUUGAAUUACUUGUUUUAGAUUUGUCUAAAUACGGAUGUAUCUAGACUUAUUUUAGUGCUAGAUACUUCUGUAUCUAAACAAAUCUAAGACAAGUAAUUUGAAACGGAGGGAGUACUAU